AAGGACAAACCGGAUAAGCUGUC
rnacentral:snRNA from 1 species